CUUCGUGCUCGGAGCACUUUGAAUACACAAGUUCCUCAUGGAUCACUGAAGUUAAGCAACGUUGCUCGUGGUUAGUAUCCGAACGAGUGAUUAUCGGGGCAAUCUCGUGCUGCUGAUU
rnacentral:rRNA from 1 species